rnacentral:rRNA from 1 species
GACGAACGCUGGCGGCGUGCCUAAUACAUGCAAGUCGAGCGGUAAGGCCACUUCGGUGGUACACGAGCGGCGGACGGCAGAGUAACGCGUAGGAACGUACCCCAAACUGAGGGAUAACUCUGGGAAACCAGAGCUAAUACCGCAUGUGCUCCAAGGAGUAAAGCUUCGGCGGUUUGGGAACGGCCUGCGUAUGAUUAGCUUGUUGGUAAGGUAAUGGCUUACCAAGGCGACGAUCAUUAGCUGGUCUGAGAGGAUGAUCAGCCUGACUGGGACUGAGACACGGCCCAGACUCCUACGGGAGGCAGCAGUAGGGAAUUUUCCACAAUGGGCGAAAGCCUGAUGGAGCAACGCCGCGUGCAGGAUGAAGGCCUUCGGGUUGUAAACUGCUUUUCUAUGUGAAGAUUCAGACGGUAGCAUAGGAAUAAGGAUCGGCUAACUCCGUGCCAGCCGCCGCCGUAA